rnacentral:rRNA from 1 species
GAGUUUGAUCAUGGCUCAGAUUGAACGCUGGCGGCAUGCCUUACACAUGCAAGUCGAACGGCAGCACGGGAGCUUGCUCCUGGUGGCGAGUGGCGAACGGGUGAGUAAUGCAUCGGAACGUAUCCUGGAGUGGGGGAUAACGUAGCGAAAGUUACGCUAAUACCGCAUAUUCUGUGAGCAGGAAAGCGGGGGACCUUCGGGCCUCGCGCUCUUGGAGCGGCCGAUGUCGGAUUAGCUAGUUGGUGAGGUAAAGGCUCACCAAGGCGACGAUCCGUAGCAGGUCUGAGAGGAUGAUCUGCCACACUGGAACUGAGACACGGUCCAGGCUCCUACGGGAGGCAGCAGUGGGGAAUUUUGGACAAUGGGGGCAACCCUGAUCCAGCCAUGCCGCGUGAGUG